AUUGGGGUGGCAGAGCCAGGUAAUUAAUGCAAAAGACCUAAACCCUUUAUUCAGGGGUUCAACUCCCCUCCCCAAUU
ensembl:Mt_tRNA